AAGGCCGAGAGCUGAUGACGAGUGUUCUUUUAGAACACGAAGUGGUUGAUGCCAUGCUUCCAAGAAAAGCUUCUAAGCUUCAGGUAACCAGGAACCGUACCCCAAACCGACACAGGUGGUUGGGUAGAGAAUACCAAGGCGCUUGAGAGAACUCGGGUGAAGGAACUAGGCAAAAUGGCACCGUAACUUCGGGAGAAGGUGCGCCGGUGAGGGUGAAGCAUUUACUGCGUAAGCCCAUGCCGGUCGAAGAUACCAGGCCGCUGCGACUGUUUAUUAAAAACACAGCACUCUGCAAACACGAAAGUGGACGUAUAGGGUGUGACGCCUGCCCGGUGCCGGAAGGUUAAUUGAUGGGGUUAGCUAACGCGAAGCUCUUGAUCGAAGCCCCGGUAAACGGCGGCCGUAACUAUAACGGUCCUAAGGUAGCGAAAUUCCUUGUCGGGUAAGUUCCGACCUGCACGAAUGGCGUAACGAUGGCGGCGCUGUCUCCACCCGAGACUCAGUGAAAUUGAAAUCGCUGUGAAGAUGCAGUGUAUCCGCGGCUAGACGGAAAGACCCCGUGAACCUUUACUAUAGCUUUGCACUGGACUUUGAAUUUGCUUGUGUAGGAUAGGUGGGAGGCUUUGAAGCGUGGACGCCAGUUCGCGUGGAGCCAACCUUGAAAUACCACCCUGGCAACUUUGAGGUUCUAACUCAGGUCCGUUAUCCGGAUCGAGGACAGUGUAUGGUGGGUAGUUUGACUGGGGCGGUCUCCUCCUAAAGAGUAACGGAGGAGUACGAAGGUGCGCUCAGACCGGUCGGAAAUCGGUCGUAGAGUAUAAAGGCAAAAGCGCGCUUGACUGCGAGACAGACACGUCGAGCAGGUACGAAAGUAGGUCUUAGUGAUCCGGUGGUUCUGUAUGGAAGGGCCAUCGCUCAACGGAUAAAAGGUACUCCGGGGAUAACAGGCUGAUACCGCCCAAGAGUUCAUAUCGACGGCGGUGUUUGGCACCUCGAUGUCGGCUCAUCACAUCCUGGGGCUGAAGCCGGUCCCAAGGGUAUGGCUGUUCGCCAUUUAAAGUGGUACGCGAGCUGGGUUUAGAACGUCGUGAGACAGUUCGGUCCCUAUCUGCCGUGGACGUUUGAGAUUUGAGAGGGGCUGCUCCUAGUACGAGAGGACCGGAGUGGACGAACCUCUGGUGUUCCGGUUGUCACGCCAGUGGCAUUGCCGGGUAGCUAUGUUCGGAAUAGAUAACCGCUGAAAGCAUCUAAGCGGGAAACUAGCCUCAAGAUGAGAUCUCACUGGGACCUUGAGUCCCCUGAAGGGCCGUCGAAGACUACGACGUUGAUAGGUUGGGUGUGUAAGCGCUGUGAGGCGUUGAGCUAACCAAUACUAAUUGCCCGUGAGGCUUGACCAU
rnacentral:rRNA from 1 species